GGGCCCGCACAAGCGGUGGAGUAUGUGGUUUAAUUCGAUGCAACGCGAAGAACCUUACCAGGGUUUGACAUCCUGCGAAUCUCUUGGAAACGAGAGAGUGCCUUCGGGAGCGCAGUGACAGGUGGUGCAUGGCUGUCGUCAGCUCGUGUCGUGAGAUGUUGGGUUAAGUCCCGCAACGAGCGCAACCCACGUCUUUAGUUACCAGCACUUCGGGUGGGAACUCUAAGGAUACUGCCAGUGACAAACUGGAGGAAGGCGGGGACGACGUCAAGUCAUCAUGGCCCUUACGACCAGGGCUACACACGUGCUACAAUGGUAGGUACAGAGGGCAGCUACACAGCGAUGUGAUGCGAAUCUCAAAAAGCCUAUCGUAGUCCAGAUUGGAGUCUGCAACUCGACUCCAUGAAGUAGGAAUCGCUAGUAAUCGCGGAUC
rnacentral:rRNA from 1 species